AGGCGCUGCGAGAAUUCGGGUGCCCCCCCUGGGAAGAGCCCCCCAAGGUGGAUGAGCCGCUCAGCCCGCCGGUGACCGUGGAUGACCCCGGCGAUCCCGAGCUGGCCCAGGCCGUGGCCGCCGCCCGCGGGGCCGCCCCGGGGUGGGGGCGGCUGCCGGGGGCGUCGCGGGCCCGGGUGCUGCGGGGGGCGGCGGCGGCGCUG